CCUGGUGGCUCAGAUGGUUGAGCGUCUGCCUGCGAUGCAGGAGACCCAGGUUCGAUUCCUGGGUCAGGA
rnacentral:tRNA from 1 species